AGGAAAGAGCUCAAAGUUGGAACCUGUUUGGCUUAGCUAAACCGGAUUGUAAACUGUAGAAGUGUUUUCCAGACACGCCUGGUAAAAAAGUCCUUUGGAACAGGGCAUCAUAGAGGGUGAGAAUCCCGUCUUUGGCCAGAGCUGUUGUCUUUUGUGAUACAUUUUCAAAGAGUCAGGUUGUUUGGGAAUGCAGCCUAAAUUGGGUGGUAAAUCUCACCUAAAGCUAAAUAUUUGCGAGAGACCGAUAGCGAACAAGUACCGUGAGGGAAAGAUGAAAAGAACUUUGAAAAGAGAGUUAAACAGUAUGUGAAAUUGUUAAAAGGGAACCGUUUGGAGCCAGACUGGCUUGACUGUAAUCAAUCUAGGCUUCGGCCUGGAUGCACUUGCGGUUUAUGCCUGCCAACGACAAUUUUUUUUGAGGGAAAAAACUAUUUGGAAUGUGGCCCUCCCUCGGGGGGGUGUUAUAGCCUUUUAGAAAAUACCUUGAAUUGGAUUGAGGAACGCAGUGAAUGCCUUUAGGCAAGAUUGCUGGGCGCUUUCGCUAAUAAAUGCUAGAAUUUCUGCUUCGGGUGGUGCUAGUGUUUAAAGGAGAAACUCGUCUGGUAUAUUU
rnacentral:rRNA from 1 species